rnacentral:rRNA from 1 species
GACGAACGCUGGCGGCGUGCUUAACACAUGCAAGUCGAACGGAAAGGCCCUGCUUUUGUGGGGUGCUCGAGUGGCGAACGGGUGAGUAACACGUGAGUAACCUGCCCUUGACUUUGGGAUAACUUCAGGAAACUGGGGCUAAUACCGGAUAGGAGCUCCUGCUGCAUGGUGGGGUUGGAAAGUUUCGGCGGUUGGGGAUGGACUCGCGGCUUAUCAGCUUGUUGGUGGGGUAGUGGCUUACCAAGGCUUUGACGGGUAGCCGGCCUGAGAGGGUGACCGGCCACAUUGGGACUGAGAUACGGCCCAGACUCCUACGGGAGGCAGCAGUGGGGAAUAUUGCACAAUGGGCGGAAGCCUGAUGCAGCAACGCCGCGUACGGGAUGACGGCCUUCGGGUUGUAAACCGCUUUCGCCUGUGACGAAGCGUGAGUGACGGUAAUGGGUAAAGAAGCACCGGCUAACUACGUG